CAGCCGCCGCGGUAAUACGAGGGGGGCAAGCGUUGCUCGGAAUUAUUGGGCGUAAAGGGUGCGUAGGCGGUUUGGCAAGUCUUAUGUGAAAUCUUCAGGCUCAACCUGAAGUCUGCAUAGGAAACUACUGGGCUUGAGUAUUGGAGGGGUGAGUGGAAUUUCCGGUGUAGCGGUGAAAUGCGUAGAUAUCGGAAGGAACACCUGUGGCGAAAGCGGCUCACUGGACAAUUACUGACGCUGAGGCACGAAAGCGUGGGGAGCAAACAGGAUUAGAUACCCGAGUAGUCCCUGUCUCUUAUAC
rnacentral:rRNA from 1 species